AAAAAAAAUUGGUUGCCUGUAAAGUCGGUAUACGGGCGAAAGUUUUACGUGACAACGACUUUUUAUGUCUGUCUCUCUCGCUCUUAGGCGGGCUAACCAUGCCCGAGUGGAAGGGACGCGUGCCUCUCACUCGCUCUCAUUGUGAGCGCAUAACGUGAGCGGAGCGUAACGCAGUUUCUUGAAGUGUCACCCGGCAAACCAAUUUAUAAGACGUUGUCACGUCAAUAAUAAUUUUUGUUAUAA